AGGUGAUAUGAACCGUUAUAACCGGCGAUUUCCGAAUGGGGAAACCCAGUGUGAUUCGUCACACUAUCAUUAACUGAAUCCAUAGGUUAAUGAGGCGAACCGGGGGAACUGAAACAUCUAAGUACCCCGAGGAAAAGAAAUCAACCGAGAUUCCCCCAGUAGCGGCGAGCGAACGGGGAGCAGCCCAGAGCCUGAAUCAGUGUGUGUGUUAGUGGAAGCGUCUGGAAAGGCGCGCGAUACAGGGUGACAGCCCCGUACACAAAAAUGCACAUACUGUGAGCUCGAUGAGUAGGGCGGGACACGUGGUAUCCUGUCUGAAUAUGGGGGGACCAUCCUCCAAGGCUAAAUACUCCUGACUGACCGAUAGUGAACCAGUACCGUGAGGGAAAGGCGAAAAGAACCCCGGCGAGGGGAGUGAAAAAGAACCUGAAACCGUGUACGUACAAGCAGUGGGAGCCUCUUUAUGGGGUGACUGCGUACCUUUUGUAUAAUGGGUCAGCGACUUAUAUUCUGUAGCAAGGUUAACCGAAUAGGGGAGCCGAAGGGAAACCGAGUCUUAACUGGGCGUUAAGUUGCAGGGUAUAGACCCGAAACCCGGUGAUCUAGCCAUGGGCAGGUUGAAGGUUGGGUAACACUAACUGGAGGACCGAACCGACUAAUGUUGAAAAAUUAGCGGAUGACUUGUGGCUGGGGGUGAAAGGCCAAUCAAACCGGGAGAUAGCUGGUUCUCCCCGAAAGCUAUUUAGGUAGCGCCUCGUGAAUUCAUCUCCGGGGGUAGAGCACUGUUUCGGCAAGGGGGUCAUCCCGACUUACCAACCCGAUGCAAACUGCGAAUACCGGAGAAUGUUAUCACGGGAGACACACGGCGGGUGCUAACGUCCGUCGUGAAGAGGGAAACAACCCAGACCGCCAGCUAAGGUCCCAAAGUCAUGGUUAAGUGGGAAACGAUGUGGGAAGGCCCAGACAGCCAGGAUGUUGGCUUAGAAGCAGCCAUCAUUUAAAGAAAGCGUAAUAGCUCACUGGUCGAGUCGGCCUGCGCGGAAGAUGUAACGGGGCUAAACCAUGCACCGAAGCUGCGGCAGCGACACUAAGUGUUGUUGGGUAGGGGAGCGUUCUGUAAGCCUGUGAAGGUGUACUGUGAGGUAUGCUGGAGGUAUCAGAAGUGCGAAUGCUGACAUAAGUAACGAUAAAGCGGGUGAAAAGCCCGCUCGCCGGAAGACCAAGGGUUCCUGUCCAACGUUAAUCGGGGCAGGGUGAGUCGACCCCUAAGGCGAGGCCGAAAGGCGUAGUCGAUGGGAAACAGGUUAAUAUUCCUGUACUUGGUGUUACUGCGAAGGGGGGACGGAGAAGGCUAUGUUGGCCGGGCGACGGUUGUCCCGGUUUAAGCGUGUAGGCUGGUUUUCCAGGCAAAUCCGGAAAAUCAAGGCUGAGGCGUGAUGACGAGGCACUACGGUGCUGAAGCAACAAAUGCCCUGCUUCCAGGAAAAGCCUCUAAGCAUCAGGUAACAUCAAAUCGUACCCCAAACCGACACAGGUGGUCAGGUAGAGAAUACCAAGGCGCUUGAGAGAACUCGGGUGAAGGAACUAGGCAAAAUGGUGCCGUAACUUCGGGAGAAGGCACGCUGAUAUGUAGGUGAAGCGACUUGCUCGUGGAGCUGAAAUCAGUCGAAGAUACCAGCUGGCUGCAACUGUUUAUUAAAAACACAGCACUGUGCAAACACGAAAGUGGACGUAUACGGUGUGACGCCUGCCCGGUGCCGGAAGGUUAAUUGAUGGGGUUAGCGGUAACGCGAAGCUCUUGAUCGAAGCCCCGGUAAACGGCGGCCGUAACUAUAACGGUCCUAAGGUAGCGAAAUUCCUUGUCGGGUAAGUUCCGACCUGCACGAAUGGCGUAAUGAUGGCCAGGCUGUCUCCACCCGAGACUCAGUGAAAUUGAACUCGCUGUGAAGAUGCAGUGUACCCGCGGCAAGACGGAAAGACCCCGUGAACCUUUACUAUAGCUUGACACUGAACAUUGAGCCUUGAUGUGUAGGAUAGGUGGGAGGCUUUGAAGUGUGGACGCCAGUCUGCAUGGAGCCGACCUUGAAAUACCACCCUUUAAUGUUUGAUGUUCUAACGUUGGCCCCUGAUCGGGGUUGCGGACAGUGUCUGGUGGGUAGUUUGACUGGGGCGGUCUCCUCCUAAAGAGUAACGGAGGAGCACGAAGGUUGGCUAAUCCUGGUCGGACAUCAGGAGGUUAGUGCAAUGGCAUAAGCCAGCUUGACUGCGAGCGUGACGGCGCGAGCAGGUGCGAAAGCAGGUCAUAGUGAUCCGGUGGUUCUGAAUGGAAGGGCCAUCGCUCAACGGAUAAAAGGUACUCCGGGGAUAACAGGCUGAUACCGCCCAAGAGUUCAUAUCGACGGCGGUGUUUGGCACCUCGAUGUCGGCUCAUCACAUCCUGGGGCUGAAGUAGGUCCCAAGGGUAUGGCUGUUCGCCAUUUAAAGUGGUACGCGAGCUGGGUUUAGAACGUCGUGAGACAGUUCGGUCCCUAUCUGCCGUGGGCGCUGGAGAACUGAGGGGGGCUGCUCCUAGUACGAGAGGACCGGAGUGGACGCAUCACUGGUGUUCGGGUUGUCAUGCCAAUGGCACUGCCCGGUAGCUAAAUGCGGAAGAGAUAAGUGCUGAAAGCAUCUAAGCACGAAACUUGCCCCGAGAUGAGUUCUCCCUGACUCCUUGAGAGUCCUGAAGGAACGUUGAAGACGACGACGUUGAUAGGCCGGGUGUGUAAGCGCAGCGAUGCGUUGAGCUAACCGGUACUAAUGAACCGUGAGGCUUAACCUU
rnacentral:rRNA from 1 species